UGGGGAAUAUUGCACAAUGGGCGAAAGCCUGAUGCAGCAACGCCGCGUGAGUGAUGAAGGCCUUCGGGUUGUAAAGCUCUGUCUUUUGGGACGAUAAUGACGGUACCAAAGGAGGAAGCCACGGCUAACUACGUGCCAGCAGCCGCGGUAAUACGUAGGUGGCAAGCGUUGUCCGGAUUUACUGGGCGUAAAGGAUGCGUAGGCGGAUUUUUAAGUGAGAUGUGAAAUACCCGGGCUUAACUUGGGUGCUGCAUUUCAAACUGGGAAUCUAGAGUGCGGGAGAGGAGAAUGGAAUUCCUAGUGUAGCGGUGAAAUGCGUAGAGAUUAGGAAGAACACCAGUGGCGAAGGCGAUUCUCUGGACCGUAACUGACGCUGAGGCAUGAAAGCGUGGGUAGCAAACAGGAUUAGAUACCCUGGUAGUCCACGCCGUAAACGAUGAGUACUAGGUGUAGGAGGUAUCGACCCCUUCUGUGCCGCAGUUAACACAAUCAAGUACUCCGCCUGGGAAGUACGAUCGCAAGAUUAAAACUCAAAGGAAUUGACGGGGUCAAUAGC
rnacentral:rRNA from 1 species